rnacentral:rRNA from 1 species
AACGAACGCUGGCGGCAUGCCUAACACAUGCAAGUCGAACGAGACCUUCGGGUCUAGUGGCGCACGGGUGCGUAACGCGUGGGAACCUGCCCUUAGGUUCGGAAUAACUCCCCGAAAGGGGUGCUAAUACCGGAUAAUGUCUUCGGACCAACGAUUUAUCGCCGUUGGAUGGGCCCGGGUUGGAUUAGCUAGUUGGUAGGGUAAAAGCCUACCAAGGCGACGAUCCAUAGCUGGUCGGAGAGGAUGAUCAGCCACACUGGGACUGAGACACGGCCCAGACUCCUACGGGAGGCAGCAGUGGGGAAUAUUGGACAAUGGGCGAAAGCCUGAUCCAGCAAUGCGGCGUGAGUGAUGAAGGCCUUAGGGUUGUAAAGCUCUUUUACCCGGGAUGAUAAUGACAGUACCGGGAGAAUAAGCACCGGCUAACUCCGUG